rnacentral:rRNA from 1 species
UACGUAGGGUGCGAGCGUUAAUCGGAAUUACUGGGCGUAAAGCGUGCGCAGGCGGUUGGCAAAGUCAGCUGUGAAAGCCCCGGGCUCAACCUGGGAAUUGCGGUUGAAACUAGUCGACUAGAAUCUGGCAGAGGGGGGUGGAAUUCCACGUGUAGCAGUGGAAAUGCGUAGAGAUGUGGAGGAACACCGAUGGCGAAGGCAGCCCCCUGGG